rnacentral:rRNA from 1 species
AUUAAACGCUGGCGGCAUGCCUUACACAUGCAAGUCGAACGGCAGCACGGGGCAACCUGGUGGCGAGUGGCGAACGGGUGAGUAAAGCAUCGGAACGUGCCCUGGAGUGGGGGAUAACGUAGCGAAAGUUACGCUAAUACCGCAUAUUCUGUGAGCAGGAAAGCAGGGGAUCGCAAGACCUUGCGCUCUGGGAGCGGCCGAUGUCGGAUUAGCUAGUUGGUGGGGUAAAGGCCUACCAAGGCGACGAUCCGUAGCGGGUCUGAGAGGAUGAUCCGCCACACUGGGACUGAGACACGGCCCAGACUCCUACGGGAGGCAGCAGUGGGGAAUUUUGGACAAUGGGCGCAAGCCUGAUCCAGCCAUGCCGCGUGAGUGAAGAAGGCCUUCGGGUUGUAAAGCUCUUUCGUUGGGGAUGAUAAUGACCGUACCCAAAGAAGAAGCACCGGCUAACUUCGUG